rnacentral:rRNA from 1 species
GACGGAAGGUGCAAGCGUUGCUCGGAAUCACUGGGCGUAAAGGGUGCGUAGGUGGUGGGGUAAGUCGGAUGUGAAAGCUCGGAGCUCAACUCCGAAAUGGCAUUGGAAACUACCCUGCUAGAGGAUUGGAGGGGGGACUGGAAUACUUGGUGUAGCAGUGAAAUGCGUAGAUAUCAAGUGGAACACCAGUGGCGAAGGCGAGUCCCUGGACAAUACCUGACACUGAGGCACGAAAGCUAGGGGAGCAAACAGGA